UACGGAGGGUGCGAGCGUUGUCCGGAAUCAUUGGGCGUAAAGGGCGCGUAGGUGGCCCAGUAAGCGUGCGGUGAAAGCUCGGGGCUCAACCCCGAGUCGGCCGUGCGAACCACUGGGCUGGAGCACUGUAGAGGCAGGCGGAAUUCCGGGUGUAGCGGUGGAAUGCGUAGAGAUCCGGAGGAAGACCGGUGGCGAAGGCGGCCUGCUGGGCAGUUACUGACACUGAGGCGCGACAGCGUGGGGAGCAAACAGG
rnacentral:rRNA from 1 species